rnacentral:rRNA from 1 species
AUGAAAUGCUGCAAUGUCCUCUCGCACAGCCUCGAGAGGGUGGUCAAGCCUAAUGUCGCGUACCUGCGAGAGUGUGGGUUACGAGAUUGCGAUAUUGCCAAGCUGUGCGUCCGAAGACUGAGGUUGAUCACCGCCAACCUACAGUGUCUCCAGGCGAUGGUGGGAUGCGCUGAAAACAUAGGUAUACCCCGUCACACUGGGAUGUUCAAGCACGCGCUGCAUUGUGUUGCAUUUCUCAGCGAGGAGGAGAUCGCAGCCAGGGUGGAGCACUUGAAGAACACGUUCAGGUGGACGGAUGCUGAGGUGGGCAUGGCUGUGUCUAGGGCUCCAAUGGUGCUGAACAGGACUAAGGAAUCGCUGCAGCGCAGUUCCGAGUUCCGAAUCUCUGAAGUGGGGCUGGAGCCGGCGUACAUUGCUCAGCGGCCGUUUAUUUUCUGUUUCAGCCUAGAGGGCCGGCUGAAACCCCGGUACUACGUUGUAAAGUUUCUCAAGGCAAAUGGAUUGCUCAAGCGUGAUCCGAGCUACAGUGCUGUUCUCAAGGAGACCGAGAAGGCAUUCAGGAAGAAGUUCAUAUGCCAUCACAAGGAAGCCGCACAGCACCUCAAAGAAGACUAUGAUGCUGCUUGUAAAGGGGAAGUGCUGUCUAAUUUCAGAUUCGCAUGA